rnacentral:tRNA from 1 species
AAGGGAGACCUAAUUCCGGUAGGAGACGAAAAAAAAGUAGUCCCAACCAAGAAUCAAUCCCAAAAGGUCGGAACGAGGUAUGAGGCUUUCAAACUAGGUUCUGGGUUCAUAAAAGACCUGAAUCAGGAACAAGGGCUAUUAGCUCAGGUGGUUAGAGCGCACCCCUGAUAAGGGUGAGGUCCCUGGUUCGAGUCCAGGAUGGCCCACCUGCACAGGUGGCAAAAACGAGAGAAGCUCCGAAUCAGCACCUUAUCUUAUAUACAUAUAUAAGAGAGAAUGCUGGCUCUGAGUACAGAGUCCAGAGGAACCUUGAAAACUGCAUAGAGCUAGGUGAAAAAGCCAAAAAAGAAGACCGCAA